rfam:Gossypium hirsutum cultivar TM-1 chromosome 21, whole genome shotgun sequence
UAUUAAAAAACUUACCCAUUUCUACUAUUAAAAACUAGCAUGACUAAUAGAAUACCCAAAAAGUUACAUGUGAUACCAUGUGUACCUCAUUUUGAUGUACAGGUAUCAAUUCUUAAUAGUAGAAAUAGAUGAAAAUUUUAUA